rnacentral:tRNA from 1 species
ACUUAGGAUAAUCCCACUAAACCAGGGGCCUUCAAAGCCCAAAAUAGCAGUGCAACCCCGCUAGUUUCUGAAA